rnacentral:lncRNA from 1 species
UAAUAGAGGUAAUGCCUAAUGCUGAAGGGAUCCUAAAAAAACACACAAAAAAAUAUGCCUAAAUAUACUGACAUAUGCCGCUGAACUCAAUGAAAAAAUCCCCACCCCUUUUGGAUCGUCUUCUCCAUUUUUAACAGUAGCAGACCUUAGGAAAUCGAGUCCGCCGUUGGUCUUCUGCAGAAAUCAAAGAAAAAACAAAAAAAUGAAGACACCCUAACCUAGCGGGAAAAUUCCAAAAAUUCAGCAACAAACUCUUUGAUUUUUGGAGAGUUUCAGCCGCACACUUGAUUAAAAGGUUGAGAUGCAACGACAAUGGGUUGGAACCUUCUGCUGCUUUGGAUCUUCUUGAUGUACUUUCCCGAUAUCUUUAGCAAUUCUAAUAGCAUCAGCAGUAGCAUCAACCAGUCGCCUUCCUCUCCUAAAAGCCAGCAAAAAUAGUCCAAAAUCCAGCUCGAGAAAUAGCCAAAAACAACCUCGAAAUCAACCGGAGUUCAGCGGUCUAGUUCGAGUUUUCCGGCGAGUUUCGAGGCUGUCGGAGCGGUGGUUCUGAGGUUCGAGGCGACGAGGUCGUUGGAAAGCAUUUCGGUCCAGAGUUGUCUAAUUUUUGAGUCGAUUAUAACUGAGGCUCAAAUUCAACUCAAAGGUCCGAUAUUUUAACUCCUUCGUCUAUUUUUUUCAUCAAUUACAGGCUGCUACUUUGGUCCCUUUUCUCCUUGUUUACAUAUUUUGAUUUCAAUUUUACGUGGCUGUGUGGAUAGUGAAUUAUAUUUUUUUUAAUUUCAAUCAAACAGUUGUUAGUAUGUAUAAUGGUAGAAAUUGGCACGUUAUUUGGGGACGUUCUUGGCUUAUAAGAAUUUAUGUUAAAUGUUUAGGAGUCAGGUGAUUUUUAAGACUGAAGGUGUAAAUUUGGGGUAAGAAGGAAAGAAAAAAUAAAAAUUAAAUUAGCCUUAUAAAGAAAAGUAUAAAAGUAGUUGAUGACUUCUUUAUUCAUUUGGCACAACACCGUCUCCUCACAUCUGUCACGUAGAACUCAAGGAGAAACCCAACUACUGAUGGUAACCACGUUAAUUACCCAAGCUCCAUAAACUGAAUUAUUCUUUACUUCAAUAUUACCUUUACAAUUACUCUCAAAGGUAGAGAUUGAAUAAUAUUUAAAUGCGCUAGUUGCUUUAGGCACGUUAUAAUAAAAUUAUCAUAGCUACAGGUACGGUUCCCAUGACGUAGUUGCGAUGCUUAAUUUCUAAAAAUUCGGGUGUGCAUUUAUGUGACCCAAAUCCAAAUCUCAACAGCGUUAGAUAAAAUGUAUCGUGGACCGCGGGUGCAUUUAUGUGACGUAGUCCAAGACGUAUUUUAGAUGACGUUGAAUCUUCCCUAAAUAAUAAUUAAAUAAAAGCAAUUUUAAAGUUAAUAAUGCACAUAGGUUUUUAAGCGUUUUCAAAUCAGAUAAAUAGGCCAAUAAUAACAGUUGAGCGACCGUGCUAGAACCACGAAACUCGGGUGUAACGAUCCGACCGAUCGUUUUGAACUUUUUCACUUUCAUCGCCAGUUCCCGGGCAUGACUUGCCUUGUGUAACGUAUUAUGACUAAUGUUGAUCGUUGGUUUUGGUUUUCAGGAAAAAUCAGAAUGAAUUUAAAGGAACAGUCUCAAUUGAAAGCUUUGAAUUUGAAAGGUUUUACUAAGAGUUGACUUAUUGUAUAUGAGCUCGGAUCAGAAAUCUUAUAAUUUGGAUAGCUUCGUUGGGUGAUUUAUGACUUAGGAGCGCGAUCGGAAUGCAUUUUGGAAGUGCGUGGAAGGAUUUUGCUUAAUUUGGCAAAGUUAAUAUAUUGGCAAAUUCCGGUUGAUAGGUGAGAUUUUGAUUCGAGGGUCGAAAUGGAAUUCCGAGAGUUGUUAUAGCUUCGUUAUGUCAUUUGUGAUGUGUGUGCGAAAUUUCAGGUCAUUUGGACGUCGUUUG